GUGAUGUACAUAAACGUAAUUUUACAUGACGUAGAAACUUUACAACAAUACGUACAAGAAAAUAAAGCCUUUUAAAAGGGGUUGAAUAUAUAUUUUGAAGACACUAUAGGGUUAAUGUAGGGAUUUCACCCUUCCUAUUGAAUGCAUCGGCUAAUCCAUUCAGUUCCUUCCUUCAAUUAUGUUUCAAUUCAUGACAGAGAGAAUAAAUCUCCAUCGGGGGAGAGGGUCCUGGAGAAAGAGUGUACAGUCGCCGGCAACAUUAUCCGGUGACCCUCUGUUACUCAGGACACGACGACGAGACUAGGGUUACGAAGUACGACCAGGGUGAUGUGAGUGAAGUGACAUCCGCAUUUUCCGCCUGCUCUCCUCCUCUACUUCUCCGGCAAGGGACUCCUUAUCACUUUUCGAGAAUCCUUUGGUUCUAUUGUUAAUCAGCGAUUGAACUUCUGGUAUGGCCAAUGGAUGUGGUGAUGGAGAUUUUUUAGAUCAAAUCUUGACUAAACCCUUGAAUAUCUUAAAAAAAGGGUGACAUAUAUGUAUAUAUAUAUAUAUAUCAUGUAUGUAUAUAAGAUCAAAUUAAUGUAUAGCUGUAAAGUUUUAUAUUAACUGGAGCGAUUGAACUUCUGGUAUGGCCAUCUGAAACAGAGAAAAAGGAUUCCGAUCAAGAUUCUGACCGGAUGUCGCUUAUAUGGAGAUAGCCGUGCACGAUUAGUCGGUUUGUUGUUUAAAUACUCAUAUACAUCUUGCCUCUGAUUGGGUUCGGAUUUUUUUUUUCAUGUCACAGGUCUGGUUGCAAGGGGUUUUUCUUUUUGCAUUCUGAUUUCAUUCAGUCACCGUGUGGAUAUGAGUGCAUUGCCUCAGUUUCAGCUAUUUGAGAAAUGUUGAUAUCAUCUUAAAGGAGCUGGUUCGGAAAGCCAUGAACGAGACAAUGUUCCCGAGUUUAAAAAAAGAAGUGGAACGGGCUGCAAAUUAGUCGCUUGAAAGAAUGAAAAACGAAAGUAGAAAGGCCAUACUAAUGCCAUGGUCAGGUUCUCAGAUAUGUGAUUUGUGCUUUAUUGGUAUCCUUCUUACAUUGAAACGGGUCAUUUUUGUAUCACUCGAAAUGGGCCAGUCCGCAUCUACUACUUUUAUGGGUCUGUUUGAUCAUCGCAAACAAACCAUAAAAUGAAAUAAAAAAAAAGAAUUUCAUGAAUUAUAUGUAGAGAAAAACUUAAAUAACAACGAUGAAAUAAACCCUCUUGGGGAGCUGUGAGUUUGCUAGAUUGGUGAAGAACAUAUUAUUAUAGUAGAGAUUUUUAUGUUAUGUAAAUUUGACCUUCAUUGAUAUUUUGUUGACUUGAUUAUUGUAAGAUAAUGAAGACUUAGUGAGCUUGUUUGGA